AGCGGAAACGAGUUAUCUGAACCUUCGGGGAACGAUAACGGCGUCGAGCGGCGGACGGGUGAGUAAUGCCUGGGAAAUUGCCCUGAUGUGGGGGAUAACUAUUGGAAACGAUAGCUAAUACCGCAUAACGUCUACGGACCAAAGAGGGGGACCUUCGGGCCUCUCGCUUCAGGAUAUGCCCAGGUGGGAUUAGCUAGUUGGUGAGGUAAUGGCUCACCAAGGCGACGAUCCCUAGCUGGUCUGAGAGGAUGAUCAGCCACACUGGAACUGAGACACGGUCCAGACUCAUACGGGAGGCAGCAGUGGGGAAUAUUGCACAAUGGGCGCAAGCCUGAUGCAGCCAUGCCGCGUGUAUGAAGAAGGCAUUCGGGUUGUAAAGUACUUUCAGUCGUGAGGAAAGGCAAUA
rnacentral:rRNA from 1 species